UGCGCAUCUAUGAAAUGGGAACAAUAACACUUUUGACAAUUAAAGGAGGGGAGGCAAUAAAAGGCUAAGAGGAUGCCCGGCACAGGGAUACCUGUUCAGUGUAUACUGUGUCCCUGGAGCUGAGCACCUGGCCUUAUGGAGGAGAUACGGUGGUAAAUGGGAUUCAUUCAUUCAGCCAGCAUCUCAUGAGCAUCUGCUCCCUGCCAGAUCCUGCCUUGGGCUCAGAAAUGUGAAGGUGCCUAAGACCCAGCCUGUGCUCUCCAGGAACUCCACGUGUAGAGGAUGGCAUCACUCGCUGGGCAGCUGUGCCCUGAGGAGAACCUGGCAGGGACCCGAGGUUCAGGGUGUGGCCUGCUCUGGAAGGAAACCUGUGAGGUUCAGGCAGCUUCUGGGGGGCUGAAGAGGCGGAAGGUCGUCCCCGGCUGUGGAACAGCCGGCACAAGCUCACCCUGGCCACUUUCCUUCUGGAGAAAGACAUGAAAGAGCAGAAGGGACUCUCAGACCCUGGGGUUGCCAGAGAUUCCUCAAGGUCACCUUGCCCUGUCACUUUGCUUACUGCAGCCUGGACUUCAAAGGCUCUGGGCGAAGGAAGCAGCUGCUCCCCCCCGAUCUAAGUCCCUUUGAAGACGAAGCUGCGGACAGCGUGGCUUCGUGACUUGCACAGAGAGUGGAAGUCAGAUUUUAGGAGCUUAAGACGUGGGGUGUCGCGAGCCGCGACGUCAGGAUCCUGCCAACAGGUCCUAAACCUGAAAGGACGAGGACAGAAAGACGGGAGGCACUUUUCUUCUCAAGUUCCUUGCUUGCUUUAUUACAGAACCUCUUCCUUUUUAUACUCUCCAGCUGCAUGGGAGCGAGAGUACCGCCCACACAUUCCAGAGGGAAACAAUAACAACCAUUAUGGGUUACAUCUGCUAGGCAAUAGAUCAGACCACCAGCUGAACUAGCCCGUUGCUAUAGCGACGGCACGUCCACACUGCUCGGGUGAAUCACAGGUCAGUAUGGCUGCGCUCAUGUCGUGUUCCUUUACAAGGCUCUCCAUAAUGGGGCACCACUCAGGCUGGAGGGACUGCGCAUGGGGGUGGGAGGAAAGGCGGGGGAGAGGUGCCAAGCUUGGUAGCCAGAUCCUGCCCAUCUGUCCUGGGCGAGAGGCUGUGGCCAUGUUCCCAGCAGCCACCGCGCCGGAAAAGCCCCCAGGACGUAGAGAGGAAAAGAACAGGCAUCCACUGAGCCGCCGCUGUGGGAGCUACUUCGCACCAGAUCCCACCAGCCUGUUUCCUCAGGAUGUAGGACACCACCUACUGCAAAGCUGUACCACGCGGUGAUUUGUUGGAUGGAUGAAUGAAUGCUCUUUUAGCAGUGCCUGCCAUGGACACAGCAGUGGGGGGAAUCACACCACUACUGGCUCAUUUCACAGAUGAGAACAUUGAGGACCAAGGGCAUUUGGCCCGGGGUCAUGCAGUUACUUACUACGUGGCAUGUGCAAAUGUUAAACACACCUCUAGCUGUGUUGCCCCCAAGUCUCGACCCACAAAGGAUUGGAAGGACAAUGGGGUUUUUAGAGAUGGCGCUUGUCUACAGGAAAGAGGAGGCUCCAACUCCUAUUUUUGGAGCAUGACUUUGUGGAAUCUUCUGGGCCG
rnacentral:lncRNA from 1 species